GGGCGAGUGGUGAAAUGGCAAACACGCUAGUUUUAGGAACUAGUGCCGAAAGGCUUGGGGGUUCGAGUCCUCUCUCGCCCA
rnacentral:tRNA from 1 species